ACGGGAGGCAGCAGUGGGGAAUAUUGCACAAUGGGCGCAAGCCUGAUGCAGCCAUGCCGCGUGUGUGAAGAAGGCCUUCGGGUUGUAAAGCACUUUCAGUCGUGAGGAAGGCGGUGUCGUUAAUAGCGGCAUCAUUUGACGUUAGCGACAGAAGAAGCACCGGCUAACUCCGUGCCAGCAGCCGCGGUAAUACGGAGGGUGCGAGCGUUAAUCGGAAUUACUGGGCGUAAAGCGCAUGCAGGUGGUUUGUUAAGUCAGAUGUGAAAGCCCGGGGCUCAACCUCGGAAUAGCAUUUGAAACUGGCAGACUAGAGUACUGUAGAGGGGGGUAGAAUUUCAGGUGUAGCGGUGAAAUGCGUAGAGAUCUGAAGGAAUACCGGUGGCGAAGGCGGCCCCCUGGACAGAUACUGACACUCAGAUGCGAAAGCGUGGGGAGCAAACAGGAUUAGAUACCCUGGUAGUCCACGCCGUAAACGAUGUCUACUUGGAGGUUGUGGCCUUGAGCCGUGGCUUUCGGAGCUAACGCGUUAAGUAGACCGCCUGGGGAGUACGGUCGCAAGAUUAAAACUCAAAUGAAUUGACGGGGGCCCGCACAAGCGGUGGAGCAUGUGGUUUAAUUCGAUGCAACGCGAAGAACCUUACCUACUCUUGACAUCCAGAGAACUUUCCAGAGAUGGAUUGGUGCCUUCGGGAACUCUGAGACAGGUGCUGCAUGGCUGUCGUCAGCUCGUGUUGUGAAAUGUUGGGUUAAGUCCCGCAACGAGCGCAACCCUUAUCCUUGUUUGCCAGCGAGUAAUGUCGGGAACUCCAGGGAGACUGCCGGUGAUAAACCGGAGGAAGGUGGGGACGACGUCAAGUCAUCAUGGCCCUUACGAGUAGGGCUACACACGUGCUACAAUGGCGCAUACAGAGGGCGGCCAACUUGCGAAAGUGAGCGAAUCCCAAAAAGUGCGUCGUAGUCCGGAUUGGAGUCUGCAACUCGACUCCAUGAAGUCGGAAUCGCUAGUAAUCGUGGAUCAGAAUGCCACGGUGAAUACGUUCCCGGGCCUUGUACACACCGCCCGUCACACCAUGGGAGUG
rnacentral:rRNA from 1 species